GCCACGUCUAAAUACCCUACCUCUUCCAGCCACCUGUCUUCUCGGGGAAGCUUCUGCAACCGGUUUUUUGUCAGCUCAAGUUGGAGGCCAUCAAACCUGCACUUAAACCAGCGAUGAGCUUCUUCCAGACAGCAUUUUCAUUUUUUGAUUCUGACAUCUGAGAGAGAGAGAGAGAGGUGUAUUUCUCUGUUUCCUGGGAGAAGAAUGGAAGGAAUGCUUUUUUAAGGAGACCAUGUGUGCUGGAAGGCAAGAGCUUGAUGGUCUCUUCAAGUCCCUUUCCAGAGACAGAAUGUCACGCUCUUCAGGAGGCUGGGGAGAGUUUCAAGUCUACCACAGUAACAGGCAUAUCUGAGCUUCAGGGAAGAACCAAGGCACAGAAAGUUCCCGAAAGACAAUGGAAUUCAGUUCAGGAGUCCUACUUAGGAACCAGUAUUUUGCACAGGUCUUUGACUGCUUAAUACUGAGAAGACUGGAUUUUCUUAAGAGCUAAAUUUAUUUAUUCACAAGAGACAGAAAGGCAGAAGCAGGCUCCCUGUGGGGAGCCCAACGCUGGACCUGAUCUUGGACCCUGGGAUUACACCCCGAGCUGAAGGCAGACGCUCAACCACUGAACCACCACUGAACCACCCAGAUCUUUAAGCAUGAGCAUAUUAAAGUCUUUUAUCAUUUACCAACAGCUGUUGUUAUACUCUGAUACUUUUGCAGAAGGGAGAUUCCUGGGAAGGAUCCUACUAUGUAUAGGUGCAUAUUUCACAAUUGAAGAAGGCUCCAUCUGACAUCUGGUCCUAUGUAAAUAUGUUGUGGAGGCCUAAAAAUCAAACUAAGAAGAAGAGAAGUAGUGGACACUGGGUUAGACUGCUUGCUCCUAAGACUUCAGAUCAAGAAUGUUUCUUUCUUUCCAUUCUUCCUUCUCUCUCUGACCAUCCUUUUUUUUUUUUUUUUUAAUAUUUAUUUAUUCAUGAAAGAGACACAGGCAGAGGUUGAAGCAGGCUCCAUUCAGGGAGCCUGACACGGGACUCGAUCCUGGGACUCCAGGACAACACCCUGGGCUGAAGGAUGCCAAACCACUGAGCCACCCAGGGAUCCCCUGACCAUCUUUUUUUUAAUUCUUACACCAAGUCUUUAUGAUUGUUUUGCCCACCUUUCCUUGCUCUGACCUGCAAAAAUAAUGCCAUUGCAAAGGGCCUAAUCCAGUCUUCAAACAACUGGUGAUCCUGUAGUUCUGCCCAUCACAUACUUCUCCCUGAUUUCAGUGCUUCAGUUUCUCUGGACCAAACUCUGCCCCCUGUCCUUUGUAUCAUACUCCCUACACCCAAGGGUCAAUUUCUCUGCUUCUGGUUAAAAACGCCAACCCCAGGGAAUCUUGCAUCUAGAUUCUAUACAAAGAAAAGGACAAGCAAAACUAGAAUAAAACUGGUGUGGUCUACAGACUUGAACUUUACUUGCCUCCACUGCUGUUGCCUUUCCAAUGCUGAGCCACAGAGUGAAAUCAGGACUUACCAGGAGGCAUUCGUGACUCAACGUUAGCUUCCUUUGGCAGAUCCCUAGUGCCUUAGCUAGCAGUAAGUGCAAAUGGGGGCGCAAUCAGAAACCUCUCAUAAACUCAAAGGUACUGUAGAAUCUGCUGAUAAAUAGUUGCCCAACAAAACCCCUAGACUCUGCCUGAACUUGUUCCGGAUAAUAGAAGAAAUUAGCUGUAUUGUCUUUCAGCUAGGCAAGGAAGUGUUUGUGCUGUGGCCUCAACACCACACGCUGCACUUAGACUGACACUUCUGGAGAAGCUGAGCCUCAGCUACGGAAGAUCACUGAACAAGCUGGCUGGUUUAAGAAAGUGACUCCUUCGGCAGAGUCCUUCACUUACUUGACUCUGAUUGGGGUCUUGGGGACCACGGCUCCAAAGGACACUCUAGACAUUGGGAAUUAUCCUGCUUAUAAUAAUCAGCAGUCUCUCUAGUGUGCUGGAUUCUCUCAAAACCUUGAAAUGCAUGAUCAUGGGUGCUAACCACCGAGCAAAUGGUCUAAGACAGAGACAGAAAGAGGCAAAGACACAGGCAGAGGGAGAAGCAGGCUCCAUGCAGGGAGCCUGACGUGGGACUCGAUCCCAGGUCUCCAGGAUCACAACCUGGGCUGAAGGUGGCGCUAAGCCACUGCACCACGGGGGCUGCCCGCCUCUGCCAGUUGUCGCUGGAAGUUACCCACCUAAGAGAAAAUGAAAUAAGACAAAGAUACUUGAUCCUUUCUGGUUAUUCUGCUGCUGCUGCUGAGUCCCAUUCUAGGCAAGACUAUGGAAACCAAGCACAGUAGAAUGCUAAGAGGAAUAACUGAAGCAUCUUUUAUUUUGCUAAGAUCUGAAUUUAUUGUGACUUUGAGAAAAACAAAACUAGACCCCAGGACUGUGGAGAAGUCUGCAGUGCUUCCCAACUAUUGUCACGUCACAGCGUGUGUGUUAACUGGAGACAUCGAUCAGCAUCAACAACUUCCCGGUUCUAGAUGUGCGUGGGCCCAGGCUGCUCUGCUUGGCCCAACUCAGUGAUCUUAUGAUGGGGCCAGAGAGAACAUCAGAAUUAGUAACAUGUUAAUAACACAUAAGUAGACGGCUCUUGCUGCCAAGGUCAGAUGUGUUUCAACAGAAAAAAAUUAGGACUUUUCCCCUUUGUUAAAAAAACAUUGAGAGUUAAAUGAUGUGUUUUUAAGGCAAACACUUUAUAGCUCUUCUAAAGUUAUCU